AUUCCCCUAGUAACGGCGAGCGAAGCGGGAAGAGCUCAAAUUUGAAAGCUGGCGUCUUCGGCGUCCGCGUUGUAAUCUCGAGACGUGUUUUCCGUGCGGCUCUAUGGACAAGUCCCUUGGAACAGGGCAUCGUAGAGGGUGAAAAUCCCGUACUUGCCAUGGAAGUACCGUGCUUUGUGAUACACGCUCCAAGAGUCGAGUAGUUUGGGAUUGCUGCUCAAAGUGGGUGGUAGACUCCAUCUAAAGCUAAAUAUCGGGGAGAGACCGAUAGCGAACAAGUACCGUGAGGGAAAGAUGAAAAG
rnacentral:rRNA from 1 species